GAUGAAGAACGCAGCGAAAUGCGAUAAGUAAUGUGAAUUGCAGAAUUCAGUGAAUCAUCGAAUCUUUGAACGAACAUUGCGCCCGCCAGUAUUCUGGCGGGCAUGCCUGUCUGAGCGUCAUUUCAACCCUCAUGCCCCUAGGGCGUGGUGUUGGGGAUCGGCCAAAGCCCGCGAGGGACGGCCGGCCCCUAAAUCUAGUGGCGGACCCGUCGUGGCCUCCUCUGCGAAGUAGUGAUAUUCCGCAUCGGAGAGCGACGAGCCCCUGCCGUUAAACCCCCAACUUUCCAAGGUUGACCUCAGAUCAGGUAGGAAUACCCGCUGAACUUAAGCAUAUCAAUAAGCGGAGGA
rnacentral:misc_RNA from 1 species